UGAAGAAGAGAAUGUUAUGGGUGAUGAGGAAGGGGAGGGUAGUGAAGGUGAAGAGAAGGAUGGUCAAGCCGAUGAAGAUUCUGACUCAAAAGAAAAAAAUGAUAAUGGCAAGUUGAUGAUGAUGCCACUGAUAGUGAGGAGAAGGUAGAUAAGUAGACAAUGUAACUAGGUUUUAGUUACUUUGUGUGGUUUAUUUUGUUGUAAGUCCGUUUUAGGUAGUGCUCUUGUAAUUCUAUGUUAUUGUUAUGUCGCUUGUUAUGUUUUAUUUUUCAGAAAUUUGCAACUAUUUUCAGACUAUUUAUUUGUAUUUAUUAUGUUAUUUAUAUGGCUGUGUUUGUAGAUUAUGUUGUUCGCAAUUUAUUGUUGGUCUUCUUAUUUUACUUGUUGUUUUUAUUUUGUUAUGUAGUUUUUUUUUUAGUUGUUGAAGUCUUUCACAAAAAAUAACUUCACUUUUUUCCAUUUUCUUUUUCCUUUAUUUUCUGUAUCAAGAAUUUCGUUGAUUUCAAUGACGGCCCUACUCAAAUAGAUGUUGAGGCUACUGUUCAGUCCGGGGUAAAAGCAGUUGAGCUUAUGAUGUCUUCAGAUGGAAUUGGUGGUGAUCCUUGUAAACAGAUUUCAGUUUCUGAAAAUGUUGAGGUUACGGAUCGUCGUCUUGUUUGUUUUGAGAUGGGUGCAACAGGUCUCAAUGUUGAUUCUAACAUUGAACUUGAAGAUGACCCAAUUCCCGUUGAAGAAACUCCUCUUGUUGACAAGAGGAAAUCUAAGAAACCCAUAGCGCUGACGUCUCCGUUUAUGGAGUAUGACUCUUCCAUUUCUAGUUCUAAAGAUGGUUCUGGUUAUGGAGUUGUUAAGUAUGUGGCUGGGUUGUGUCCUCUCGAUGAUAAGAUUGGUGAAGAUGUAGAACAUAAAGACGAGAUUGAUUUUGACUUGUGGCUUGGUGAAGGACGCCGAUCGAAGAAAGAUCCGUAAGUGUUUAUUUUCAGCAUUUUUGUUGUGUUUUUGUAUUUUUUGUUUUUUACUUUACUAUUUAUGUUUCAUUUUUUUUAAAUGUUAGUCAUGACAAGGAGAAGGUUUACUUGAAGGGUAAGGAUAAGAUUGUUCCCCCUUUUCGUUUUGGCGUGGAAGAUGUUGCAACCAAGAUGUGGUUCCACAAGCUUGCAUAUCCUGGCCAAUGUUUGACUAAUUCUCAUCUGGACAUCAUUUUUUACUAUCUACGUAAAAAAGGAAAGUAUGCAAAGGAGCCAAAGGUUAAGUUCACAACCACCGAUUGCUUAUUCUUCAAAACCAUUCAUGCUCUGUAUGAAAAAUUUAUUGCACAGGAAA